rnacentral:rRNA from 1 species
GACGAACGCUGGCGGCGUGCUUAACACAUGCAAGUCGAACGGAAAGGCCCUGCUUGCAGGGUACUCGAGUGGCGAACGGGUGAGUAACACGUGGGUGAUCUGCCCUGCACUUCGGGAUAAGCCCGGGAAACUGGGUCUAAUACCGGAUAGGAGCCAUUUUUAGUGUGAUGGUUGGAAAGUUUUUUCGGUGUAGGAUGAGCUCGCGGCCUAUCAGCUUGUUGGUGGGGUAAUGGCCUACCAAGGCGGCGACGGGUAGCCGGCCUGGGAGGGUGGACGGGCACAGUGGCACUGGGAUACGGCCCCGACUCCGACGGGAGGGAGCAGUGGGGAAGGGUGCUCAAGGGGCGCAAGCCUGAUGCAGCGACGCCGCGGGGGGGUUGACGGCCUUCGGGUUGGAAUCGCAUUUCGCUAGUGACGAAGCUUUUUGUGACGGUACCUAGAGAAGAAGCACCGGCUAACUACGUG